rnacentral:tRNA from 1 species
GCUGGUGUAGCACAGUCGGUAGUGCAGCUGAUUCGUAAUCAGCAGGUCGCAGGUUCAAGUCCCGUCACCAGCUCCA